GUACUGCUGAAGAGUCCCAAACUAGGACGGAGGAAACAGCUGUCCAGUAC
rfam:Trichobilharzia regenti genome assembly, scaffold: TRE_scaffold0011364